ACAGCAGUGGCAGACGGGUGAGUAACACGUGGGAACCUACCUAGGGGUACGGAAUAACUCAGGGAAACUUGUGCUAAUACCGUAUACGACCUCAGGGUGAAAGAUUUAUCGCCCCUAGAUGGGCCCGCGUUGGAUUAGCUAGUUGGUGAGGUAAAAGCUCACCAAGGCGACGAUCCAUAGCUGGUCUGAGAGGAUGAUCAGCCACACUGGGACUGAGACACGGCCCAGACUCC
rnacentral:rRNA from 1 species